rnacentral:rRNA from 1 species
AACGAACGCUGGCGGCAUGCCUAACACAUGCAAGUCGAACGAGACCUUCGGGUCUAGUGGCGCACGGGUGCGUAACGCGUGGGAACCUGCCCUUAGGUUAGGAAUAACUCCCCGAAAGGGGUGCUAAUACCGGAUAAUGUCUUCGGACCAAAGAUUUAUCGCCUUUGGAUGGGCCCGCGUUGGAUUAGCUAGUUGGUAGGGUAAAAGCCUACCAAGGCGACGAUCCAUAGCUGGUCUGAGAGGAUGAUCAGCCACAAUGGGACUGAGACACGGCCCAGACUCCUACGGGAGGCAGCAGUGGGGAAUAUUGGACAAUGGGCGAAAGCCUGAUCCAGCAAUGCCGGGUGAGUGAUGAAGGCCUUAGGGUUGUAAAGCCCUUUUACCCGGGAUGAUAAUGACGGUACCGGGAGAAUAAGCACCGGCUAACUCCGUG